AAGAAAGUCCUGCAGUGAGAUGGAGAUCUGUAAAUGAACAGUCUAAAGUGGUUUACUGAGUCACUGACGAAGUGAAUCUUAACUAAGACCAGAAGGACAGCUGGCAGGAAUAAGAGGCAAGGUGGUAUGCGGCAGGAAGAUGCUGGGAGGUGAGGCUGGCCCCAUAGCCACGGCCAGGCCAUACAGGGACUUUUGUGGUCCAAAGAACCACGCAGAGCUGUGAAAGGACGCAAGCAAGGAAUGACAGAUGGCACCUGUGCGUGGGAGAGGGCACUCUGCUGAAGCACUGCAGUGAGAGCAUGGGAUUAGGACACAUGACCAUGCCUUGGUCCGUGCCAGCAGAAUGGAGAUAUGAAAACAUGAAGGACCAGGAGGCUGUGCUGUUCGACCAAUAGCCCCAUUUGAGCAGUGGGAUACUAAGUCCUAUUGCAUCAUAGGACUAUUCUAUUCUUUGAUGUACUGGGUCAUCUCUGAGAAUCUACUUCGCCCUACGUCCUUCUCUCUUGGGAAUUUCACUGGAGACCAGUGUCCACUGAGCUCCUGCAAAGUACUCUGUACGGGCCCAGGCAUCCUGCGGGAGACAGGUGUUAUGCAUACUCAGCAUAUAAAUGGACCCGUGAAUACAAUGAGAUGGAUUUUCAGAAGAACAUUUAAGAGCAGGCUGAAACAAAGAGUUAAAUGAGAGAACAAACAUGGAGUCACAGGUAAAGGGCUGCUUGGCGGUGGUGGUUGUGAGAGGAGGCAUGUCACUCAACACUCCUGAUUCUCUCCGUGUCACUCCAAAUAACAGGUAAAAGCAUUUUACUAGGUGUUCAAGUCUACUAGGUCUCUUCUAGUUAGAAUAGAUUUUCUCCUCUAUAAUAGGAUGCUACUUGUGAUUCAUCACAUGGUCUCUCAGCUUCAUUUGGUUAAGGCUUCAAAAUCUAAGGACAAUAUGAUAGGGGUCAAAUGUCUCCAAAUUUUCAGGCAUGUACACAUCUAAUGCAAGCUAAUGUUGUAAGCACAGCC
rnacentral:lncRNA from 1 species